rnacentral:rRNA from 1 species
CAGUAGGAUCAAUNAACCACGGAUCUAAGUGCGAUCUUUCCUGUGCCUUGCGGAAUUCAGUGCAUCAUCGCAUCUUUGCACGCCUAUUUCA